UCGAGAUCACUAAGCACUGCCCGGAAGUGGGGGGUUCUUAUGAAUCGGCAUUGAUCCCUUCCUCCCUCCUGCCCCAGCUCACGCCCCCCCACACCCCCACCUAGCCUUCCCAGGUUCCCAACCUCCCCCCGGGACGUGCACCUGCCUUUCCUUGGGGGCUACAACCACAAGCCCCUGGAGAGCACGGCUGCACAGACCUUUCGGAAGUCGGGACGCUGCUCGCAGAGGAACUUUAAAAGGCAGGCUGUGAACUGACAGCUGGCAGCCAGAUCCCACCCACACAUGUGUUUUGUUUGGCUUGCGAAGUGUUUUUAAAAUUUUAAGCCAACAGUAAAAGGUCAGGCGACUUCACAUAAAAACCCACAUUUCCCUCUUCUCCUGUAACUCUGGGUGACCUGACCACACCGGGUCUGUGUUCCCAAGUGCCGCCGGAAGCUGACUGCAGCUGCCCCCUGUAGCCAGGGCAUGUGUGGGGACUGCUCUGACAACUGUCCCCCACUCCCGCAGUGCCCAGUGCCCGACACCCUGGGGAGUCACUGCCACCCCGGAGGGGCCACCAAUUCAACAUGUGACAACCCGAAGUGGAGGGAAGCAGAGGAGGAAGAGACGGAGGGGGACACACAGAUGGAAACUGAGCCCAAGAACCAAGAGUGAGCCUGAGGACCACAGCGAGGGACAGCGGGAGAGGGAGGCAGCAGGCAGACGGAGGCGAGGAGCGAUUCCUUGGGCAUCUUAAGUCACUCUCUGGCCCCUGAGCAGCUGUCUCGUUUAGGGAAAAGGAUGCAGGGGUCCCCACAGGCGAGAGGCUGAACUCAGAGCUGGCCAGGUGAGAAGCGAAGCACCGAACCACUGAAAUCUCCAGGAGACCACACUGGGUGGCAGAUGUGACAGCAACCCUCUGACCUCACGGGGCGCUGCCGUCCCAGCACAACCAGAACAAGGUGUGCCGAUGCCGGGAGCAGUGCAAACGGCCCUGGACGGGGAUGCAGAGGGCUCCGGAUCAGCCUGGGGCUCGCUGUGGGGCCCUGCUGUCAUCCCUUGGAAAUGGGUACACCCCCGGCAUAUUGAGGGGGAGGCACGCAGAGGAACAAACGUGAUAAAUGCAUCCAUGGGCUGCAAAUCGGGGGCCGCUCGGACAGCUGUCCCCCACUCCUGCAGUGCUCGCUGCCUGGCACUGUGAGGAGUCACUGCCACCCCCGAGGGGCCACCAAUUCAACAUGUGACAGGCCGAAGUGGAGGGAAGCAGAGGAGAGAGGAAGACAUAGAGGGAAACUGAACCCAAGACCCAAAAGUGAGCCGGAGGACCACAGCGGGAGAGGGAGGCAGCAGGCAGACGGAAGCGAGGAGACAGGGCGCAGAGGGGCUGCGGGGGGUGCUGGGCACACCUGGCUGAGGAAGGGACCAAAGGCCCAGAGGGUCCCAUAGUCUCAGCCUAGUACCUGUCCCCAAGCCCAGGGGCCCUGAUCACAAGGCAGCAACGUCUAUCCCACAGCUGUGAUAGGUGGGGCACAUCACACCCCGAGGGGCCCCGGCAUCCAUGAUCUCCCCUCCUGGAGGGUGGUCAGCCGCCAUCCUGGCCCCGGACUCCUUGGAAAUGCUCCACAAAGUGCCAGCUGGAAAUGUCACAGCACAGGGGGCCUUGGGAUGAGCCAGCCCCAAGGGGCCAUUCUUUCCUGUGGGUUUGGGGAACUCUUUUAAGAUCUGGAGUGCAGAUUCGGGUUCCAGUGCCUGCUCUGUGUCUUCCUAGCCUUAGUUUCACCUCCUGGGGCCUCAAUUUCUCCAUCAGUAAAAUGGGGACAGUAACCGUCAUAGCACCAGCUCUCAGGCUUCUCAGGGGAGCAGACAGUGAAGCAGUGCACAGAAGUCCUUGGUAAUCCAAGAAGCACCCUCUGGACGGAGCUGCCAGGACAGCCCGCAGCCACCCUGGACUGACCCGUGGGGCUGGGGGCAGCUGGGGAGGCCAAGCGUGUGCACACGGGCACCAGCAGCAGAGCAGACCCCCAGUCUCCUCUCUCAUACCCGAGAUGGGAGAUGAAGACUCCCCUGUGAGUUCCAAACUCCUCCAACCAGUUCUGGCAGGGAAGAAAGGGAGUCCUGGGAAAGCAACUCCCAUGCCUGGGGCUCGGCGGUGACCCACCCAGCCCCUCCCCGGCAGAGGCACUGGUUGCCCUGGAAACUCACCUCGGUGGUGGCCGGUGCUGGCAGAGGUGCCAGCCAAGGUGUCGGGCUUUGGAGAGCGGCACGACGGGCGACGGCCCUUCUCCUGGCGGUCACCACAGAGACACAGGCAAAGAACACAGAGCCCUUCCUCCCCCUGGGCACGGCAGGCCUGGCACAAACCUGGCCUGCUUCCCGGGCCAUGGUGGGGCGAGAGCCAGGUGGGGAGUGGGCCCUGCGGGAGGCCCUCUGCCAGUGUGCUCGUCGCCUGCGUGCCCUAGUGGAGUGGAGCACCCGAGUGCCUGGGCCUGGUGUCACCCGCGUGGCUGUCAUACCUGCUGCUGUGACAGGCAGGACCAGGAAUUCCCGCUUGUACCAGGCCAUGGGCCAGCCGAGGACGAGUGGAGAGGCUGCCCCAAGCUAGCCUAGCUUUCUCCCUUAAUUCUCCAAGUCCCCACUCCCAUUCCCCCUGUGUCGGGGGCCUGGAAACCACCACACAGAGCCAGAAAGGUGACAGAUACAAGUAACCAAAUCAAAACAGGGUUCGGUCAGCAGAGCCACCAGGCGGAUGUGAGUCUAGCCAGAGGCACUGGGAGGCAGGCAGGAGACCCCACUCACUUGUUCUGGAAGGCUUCCCUGCCCCCUAGACCUGAGCUCUUCCAUCCCUGGCACCCAGGCACGAGAUUUCCUUUCUUCUUUUUUUUUUUUUUUUUUUCCCUGAGAUGGAAUCUCGCUCUGUCGCCCAGGCUGGAGUGCAGUGGUGCGACCUCGGCUCACUAUAACCUCUACCUCCCGGUUCAAGUGAUUCUCCUGCCUCAGCCUCCCAGGUAUCUGGGAUUACAGGCACAUGCCACCAUGCUCGGCUAAUUUUUUUUUGAGACAUCGUCUCACUCUGUCACCCAGGCUGGAGUGCAGUGGCAUGGUCUCGGCUCACUGCACCUCUGCCUCCCGGGUUCAAGCGAUUCUCCUGCCUCAGCCUCCUGGGUAGCUGGGACUACAGGCGCAUGCCACCACACCCAGCUAAUUUUUGUAUUUUUAGUAGAGAUGGGGCUUCACUACAUUGGCCAGGCUGGUCUCAAACUCCUGACCUCGUGAUAUGCCUGCCUCAGCCUCCCAAAGUGCUGGGAUUACAGGCAUGAGCCACCACACUCAGCCACUUGGCUAAUUUUUUUGUAUUUUUAUUAGAGAUGGGGUUUUGCCAUGUUGGCCAGGCUGGUUCGAACUCCUGACCUCAGGUGAUCCACCUGCCUUGGCCUCCCAAAGUGGUAAGAUUACAGGUGUGAGCCACCGCACCCGGCCACAAGAUUUCAUUUUAACUGGGCGCAGGGGUGGGGGAUGCCAAUGGUUUGUUUCAUUAAGUAGGGUGGUAAAAAAUAAUAAUAUUACCACCACUACUCCCACCAUUCAGAAAAAACACCACCAAAGGUAACAAGAAAGGGCUGCCAUCAGAAAGAAGGGCAGGCUUGAAAUGAGUACAUUUGGCUUUUAGAAUAAUUUACUAGAGUGACUACUGGAGUUGUAAACAACCACCACCACCACCACAACAAUACAACAACUUACUACCUUGUCCCUGUUUUUCUCAUUUUGCUGCAAACCAGACAUUGGAAGCCAUCAGACGCAUCCAACACACCCGUCUGACAAGUGGAAAGACUGAGCCCCAGAGAGAGCAGGGACUUGCCCAAGAUCUCACAGGAAAAGUGUCUGUCCAGCUGCUCUGCAAAGCUUGCAGACGCUCCUUCCAUCCUGACCUGGGGGCCAGAACACUCAGAGCCCCAACCCCAAAGCCCAGAGAUGCCAGGGCGAAGUCAGAGGCCAAGAGUCUCAGCUACUUCCUUACCUUCCUGGGAACCUGGCCGGGUGGAUGCCCA
rnacentral:lncRNA from 1 species